AUUGAACGCUGGCGGCAUGCCUUACACAUGCAAGUCGAACGGCAGCACGGACUUCGGUCUGGUGGCGAGUGUCGAACGGGUGAGUAAUGUAUCGGAACGUACCUUUCAGUGGGGGAUAACGUAGCGAAAGUUACGCUAAUACCGCAUAUUCUGUGAGCAGGAAAGCAGGGGAUCGAAAGACCUUGCGCUGAUUGAGCGGCCGAUAUCAGAUUAGCUAGUUGGUGGGGUAAAGGCCUACCAAGGCGACGAUCUGUAGCGGGUCUGAGAGGAUGAUCGGCCACCCUGGAACUGAGACGGGGACAAGAGUACUAAGGGAGGCACCAGUGGGGAAUUUUGGACAGUGGGGGCAAACCUGGUCCAGCCGUGCCGCGUGAGUGAAGACGGCCUUCGGGUUGUAAAGAUGUUUCGGCCGGGAAAAAAUCGCAUAGGCUAAUACCAUGUGUGGAUGACGGUACCGGAAUAAGAAGCACCGGCUAACUACGUG
rnacentral:rRNA from 1 species